AAUGAUGGUAUCUCAGAGGAAGCUGCUCGUGCAGUUUGUGAGCUAAUCCCUUCCACUGAGAAGCUCAAGGUCCUUCAGUUUCACAAUAACAUGACAGGUGAUGAAGGUGCAAUUGCUAUUGCUGACAUUGUGAAACUAUCUACUAUGUUGGAGGAUUUUCGAUGUUCUUCAACAAGGAUUGGCUCAGAUGGUGGUGUUGUAUUGGCUGGAGCACUUGGAAAAUGUAGUCAUUUGAGGAAGCUUGAUCUGCGUGACAAUAUGUUUGGGGUGGAAGCUGGACUUGCUUUGAGUAAGUCUCUUGUUGCAUUUGGAGAUCUUACUGAGGUUUACCUCAGUUAUCUAAAUUUGGAGGAUGACGGGGCAGAAGCACUUGCCAACGCUCUAAAAGAGUCUGCACCUUCACUUGAAGUUCUUGAAAUGGCUGGUAAU
rnacentral:misc_RNA from 1 species